rnacentral:rRNA from 1 species
UUAGAGUUUGAUCCUGGCUCAGGACGAACGCUGACGGUGUGCUUUAGGCAUGCAAGUCGAACGAGAAAGCCCUUCGGGGUGAGUAAAGUGGCGAACGGGUGAGUAACACGUGGGCAAUCUGCCCCUCGCAGGGGGACAACCGGAGGAAACUCCGGCUAAUACCCCGUACGCUUGUUGGAUCGCAUGGUCCGGCAAGGAAAGGUAGCUUCGGCCAUCCGGCGAGGGAUGAGCCCGCGUUGCAUUAGCUAGUUGGUGGGGUAACGGCCCACCAAGGCGACGAUGCGUAGCUGGUCUGAGAGGAUGAUCAGCCACACUGGGACUGAGACACGGCCCAGACUCCUACGGGAGGCAGCAGCCAGGAAUCUUGGGCAAUGGGCGAAAGCCUGACCCAGCAACACCGUGUGGGUGACGAAGGCCUUAGGGUCGUAAAGCCCUGUUGAUAGGGACGAAGGGCGAAGGGUUAAUAGCCCCUAGCUUGACGGUACCUUUCGAGGAAGCCCCGGCUAACUACGUGCCAGCAGCCGCGGUAAUACGUAGGGGGCGAGCGUUGUCCGGAAUUAUUGGGCGUAAAGAGCGUGUAGGCGGUUCGGUAAGUCUGCUGUGAAAUCCUGGGGCUCAACCCUGGGCGUGCAGCGGAUACUGCCGGGCUAGAGGGUGGUAGAGGCGAGUGGAAUUCCGAGUGUAGCGGUGAAAUGCGCAGAUAUUCGGAGGAACACCAGUAGCGAAGGCGGCUCGCUGGGCCACACCUGACGCUGAGACGCGAAAGCGUGGGGAGCGAACAGGAUUAGAUACCCUGGUAGUCCACGCCGUAAACGAUGGAUACUGGGUGUGGGCGGAGUCGAAUCUGUCUGUGCCGAAGUUAACGCGUUAAGUAUCCCGCCUGGGGGAGUACGGCCGCAAGGCUAAAACUCAAAAGAAUUGACGGGGCCCGCACAACAGCGGAGCAUGUUCUUUAAUUCGAUGCAACGCGAAAACCUUACCUGACUUGACAUGGARCUGCAAGCGCCGGAAACG